rnacentral:rRNA from 1 species
CGCGGCCUAUCAGCUUGUUGGUGAGGUAAUGGCUCACCAAGGCGACGACGGGUAGCCGGCCUGAGAGGGCGACCGGCCACACUGGGACUGAGACACGGCCCAGACUCCUACGGGAGGCAGCAGUGGGGGAUAUUGCACAGUGGGCGAAAGCCUGAUGCAGCGACGCCGCGUGAGGGAUGACGGCCUUCGGGUUGUAAACCUCUUUCAGCAGGGAAGAAGCGAAAGUGACGGUACCUGCAGAAGAAGCGCCGGCUAACUACGUGCCAGCAGCCGCGGUAAUACGUAGGGCGCAAGCGUUGUCCGGAAUUAUUGGGCGUAAAGAGCUCGUAGGCGGCUUGUCACGUCGGGUGUGAAAGCCCGGGGCUUAACCCCGGGUCUGCAUUCGAUACGGGCUAGCUAGAGUGUGGUAGGGGAGAUCGGAAUUCCUGGUGUAGCGGUGAAAUGCGCAGAUAUCAGGAGGAACACCGGUGGCGAAGGCGGAUCUCUGGGCCAUUACUGACGCUGAGGAGCGAAAGCGUGGGGAGCGAACAGGAUUAGAUACCCUGGUAGUCCACGCCGUAAACGGUGGGAACUAGGUGUUGGCGACAUUCCACGUCGUCGGUGCCGCAGCUAACGCAUUAAGUUCCCCGCCUGGGGAGUACGG